GACGAACGCUGGCGGCGUGCCUAAUACAUGCAAGUCGAGCGAAGCGGCGGAUGGGUGAGUAACGCGUGGGUAACCUGCCCUUAAGUCUGGGAUACCAUUUGAAAACAGAUGCUAAUACCAGAUACGAACGGAUGGACAUGCGCUGCAUUAGCUAGUUGGUAAGGUAACGGCUUACCAAGGCGACGAUGCAUAGCCGAGUGGAGAGACUGAUCGGACACACUGGGACUGAGACACGGCCCAAACUCCUACGGGAGGCAGCAGUAGGGAAUCUUCCACAAUGGACGAAAGUCUGAUAGAGCAACGCCGCGUGAGUGAAGAAGGUUUUCGGAUCGUAAAGCUCUGUUGUUGGUGAAGCGGUAAUCAACCAGAAAGUCACGGCUAACUACGUGCCAGCAGCCGCGGUAAUUC
rnacentral:rRNA from 1 species